rnacentral:rRNA from 1 species
UACGUAGGGUGCAAGCGUUGUCCGGAAUUAUUGGGCGUAAAGAGCUCGUAGGCGGUUUGUCGCGUCGGCUGUGAAAUCCCGAGGCUCAACCUCGGGUCUGCAGUCGAUACGGGCGGACUGGAGUACUGCAGGGGAGACUGGAAUUCCUGGUGUAGCGGUGAAAUGCGCAGAUAUCAGGAGGAACACCGGUGGCGAAGGCGGGUCUCUGGGCAGUUACUGACGCUGAGGAGCGAAAGCGUGGGGAGCGAACAGG